AAAACACACACACUGUGUGUGUAAUCCCCUGGACCAACACCUAGGAGAAACAUAACUCUUAUUCUUAAACCCUAAAUUCACCAAAUACUAUCAAAAUCAAAGAAGGAAACCGAUUUGAGAUCAAUUCCAAGUUAAAUUAGUGAUCACUAUACUUAGGAGAUCACAAGGUAAUUUGGGCGGAUCAUCGAGUAAUCAAGGCAGAACGGAUAACCGGUUAAAAGGAAAGCUUUAAAGGAAACUAAUGUGAAUAUGCGGAUGACAAUCAAGCUAUUAAGAGAACCGAACACGCACACGAGUGAAGCUUCCGCAAUUAAAUUUUGUCUUGUGUUACUAAACACUUUGAAGUUGUUUGCAAAAAAAAAAAAAAAAAAAAAAAAAAAACUUAUGUAGCACUUUAUAAACAUCUUUUGAAUGUUUAAACUGUUGUAAAUACAGUUUGUAUGGUUUGAACUUUAUGUUAAGCGUUACAUUGAAGUUUUUGAAAAAUCGGCAUUUUGAUAUAGAAAUUUACAAGAUAUUAUAUAAAAUAUUCAAUGUUUUAUAAAGGUAUUACAAUGCGUCCUUCAGAUGUCUCCGGCUAUCUUUCAGAUGUCUCAGGCAAAUCUCCAUAGUUUCCGCCGAGAAUUCAAACUUAAACAACUUCAAAAACAUCUAAUCUUUCUCAACAAUCUGACACCGUCUCCAGCGAACCUCCAUAGUUUCUAGCAUCAACAUCAACUCCAAAAAACCAAAUAUUCCUCAACAAUCCCCCAUCAACAUCACGCCUUCUGUUUUAAAAUCUUUCGGCGAAGAUCCAUACUUUCUGGCGAAUCUCAAAGUUUCCGGCGCUUUAUGCGUAAAAUUAUGUAAUUGGAUGUAGCCUAUUGGUGAAACUAAAAAUACGUGAUCAAUUUUGAAGAGCAAAAAA